rnacentral:rRNA from 1 species
GACGAACGCUGGCGGCGUGCCUAAUACAUGCAAGUCGAGCGGAUUGAUGGGAGCUUGCUCCCUGAUAUCAGCGGCGGACGGGUGAGUAACACGUGGGCAACCUGCCUAUAAGACUGGGAUAACUUCGGGAAACCGGAGCUAAUACCAGAUAAUUCCUUUCCUCACAUGGGGGAAGGCCAAAAGGUGGUUUACGCUAUCACUUAUAGAUGGGCCCGCGGCGCAUUAGCUAGUUGGUGAGGUAAUGGCUCACCAAGGCAACGAUGCGUAGCCGACCUGAGAGGGUGAUCGGCCACAC